AGAACUUCGAGGGUUAAAAGGAACUGAACUUUCCACGACCCCAUCUGCAGAGAAGAAAAUAAUAAGAGGAAUGAUGCACUGCCCCACAGCCCUGAUAGUUUAUCCUCCGGUCCCGGCUGCAGAGACAAGCACCGGAUGUGAUAGGGCUGCUCAGGGCCGCCUCCGAGAGUCAACACAUGGAAGCUCCCUAAGGAAGUCAGCUUACUGCAUACGCCCUACGUAUCCCUCUUUCUCCCUAUGUGACAAGACCUCAGAGGGCUCCCUACGACCCUUCUCCAGUGUGCUCUGUAGACUAUGGAAGACGAUCCAUGGAAAAGCAGCAAGUACAAGAAUUUCUAGAGUUUUUUUUUUUAAACAGUACUCCAAUCCAACAGUGUGAUAAAUGCAUCCGAGCUACAAUUAGGAAGAUAUAUAGCAUCAGAAUGCGAAGGUCUGGGCAGCCUGGUGAAACGCGGGCUCUCCAGAGCCCCAGCUAUGUUUCCCAUUAUGUAACCCUGGUCAUGGGCAGACAGCCAGACUCCAAAUGAAAAAGAGACUCUGGCUUGGCACUGGUUCUAUUUUCCUAUCCUCAUUCGGGGUCAGCGCAGUGUCAUACAGCUGCAGAGAAAGCUCUGGGGAUUAAACCUGGGAAAGCCUCCAAGACCAGGACCUGGGUUCAAGUACCAGCUGAAAGCAAUAAACCAACUGCCACAGCUGGGCUAGGUUUGGAUGUUCUCAAAGUCCCCUGACUCUUUCACUUACUGAGAACUAGUGAUCAGGAUAAGUGAAGAUUUGGCCUCAGCAGAGACUGAAAUGAGGUGUUCCACAUGUGCCUGCUGUUGUGGAUUUGACUGGAAGGAAGAGGAGCAUGGGCAAAGAGGAGAGAACCAAGGAAACUCAAGAUGAACCCUGGAAUUCCCCUCAGAGAGGGGAAGAUGCUGUGCAAUGAUUCUCUAACUGCAUAAGGAAAGAAGGUAACAAAUUAAAGACAGGGAGGGAAUGAAGGAAGAGAGAUGAAAGAAGGGUCCCACAUGUCAGAGGGACCAUUUGGAAGUGGGGUUUCUGGAGGAAAAGCAAAGGGGACUUCCUCUUUAUAGGAAAAACAGGCUCUCUGGUCACCUUAUCUUAGGAUCAGAGAAAUGUAUCUUUGCAAAGAAGAAACUCAGGCAAAGACCAAUGAAAGCAUGCCAAGAAGGGGCACUAAACAGCAGCCAUUUCAUUCCUGCUCCCUUGGGAGCAUUUCCAAACCCUUCAAAACGAUGAGCAGCAACAAGGACUUUACAAGCGUCAGGGGGGUUACAGUUUUGGCAUCUACAGAACCACUGGGGUGUGUUAAUCUCUAUGACCUUAAAAGAAAAGCCUCUUCAAUCUGUAAGGUCAGUGGGCAUGAGAUUAAGUUUGAAACCCACAAAAGCACCAUACCUUUGCCAAUCUCUCAACCAGAGUAUUUACUCAGUGAGUAUUAGGAAGCUACAUGAGAAUAUGGGAAACAAAAGAAGGAAGGUGCAAUUCUGAUUCCACUUUUCCAGUCCUCUGAUCUGAAGACUCUGAGGUGGGACUACCCUCAGUGGUAGUCAGGCCAGGUUUGCUCUGUUGAACGCAGGCACCAGUCCUUAAAUAGCCAUGCCUUGGGGUCAGGCCCCAGGGUAGCAAAGCCUCUCUUUCAUGCUUAAACUCGCAUUCCAGAGAUAACCAGCUGCUGAUCCUAACUGCAGAGAGAGAAAGAAAGAGAGCACAGAAGGAGAUGUUUUUCUCUAUUACACUGUUUUAUCUCUCUAGCCCAGACUGGCUUCACGAGAGAGUAAGUGGUAUCCACAGCUACGGUAACAUAUUUGCUGGGUAAUUAAAUUCAAUAUACUAUUUGGUCAGAUUUGCUCUCCUCGUGAAGAAGUCUGAGAAGACUAAGCAAAUAUGACUCAAAUGUCCCAACCCCCUCUGCCUCUCUGUAGCCCAGAAUGUGAAGCCCAGCCGGGGAUGGCUGUAGCUUGGACCACGUGCCUGCCUGUAGAUUGAGCCCUUGCCCAAAGAUGGGCAGCAGCUCAGAGCCGGCAACGGGCCAUUUGCUGCAGCAUCCAAAGAGAAAACAGACUCAGCAUCUCAAGCAAAUGAGACCCAGCACUUCCUGUGUGAGCUUUCCAUUUCCUCAGCCAAACAAAAGCCAAAAGGGAGUGAGAGAGGGAGGAGGGAUGAAGGGAGACAUGCCGCGUGAGAGAGCUAACAGACCUGUGGCCCGGGAUACGGGUAAACAGGGGCUGUGUGAAUCCUAUCUAAGAGACCUGUGGUUGUGAGGUGAGGUGACCCGCAGAAGGCCCAGGCUCCAAGGACAGAUGGUCUGCCUCCCCACCCUGAGAGUAAGGAAGGGACACUCAGUGACCCUUGUGCAUGCUCAGAAGCAGUGGCUUAGAUACUUGGAGAACUGAGUCCUUUCUUGGCAUUUUCUUUCCAAAACUGCAAACUGCCUAGUCCUCAUUACAGAUUAAUAGCCUGAAAAGUUUGAGGCUGUAGAUGUUAACUCUUUGGGGAUCACUGCUGAGAAACAGCUGUCCCCUGGCCGGCAGAUCCAUCAGUUCCUUUGUGUGGCCCCAGCUGCACAGCUUGGAGCUCCAAGGCUUCAGCCUGGAGUGCAUUUUGGAAACCUAGGAGGGCCCACAGAUAGGAUGCAGAGAACUGUCCGAUGCUGUGAGUGCCGCCCACACCGUUACAGAGCUAGAGGUGGGGAGGGCAUGGGGAGACUGAGAUUAAUAACAGUCCAGGGGUACAUCUUGAGGCAAGUAUAGGGAAAAAAUUUAGAAAGAAAAGGGGAAGAAUCAGACUACACAGUCCACACAUAAACUGCUGCCCAGAAAUCUCUGCUUUAGCCUUCCCUCUGGAGGUCACCCAUGAGUCUAGGAGACUCACAUGGCUGGUCCCCAAGCCAAACAAGCUCCCCUCCCUACUCCCCAAAAGUGCCCUCCAAAGUAGCCAGGGUCUCCAUAAUCUAUCCUCCAGCAUUACUUCUCUCCAGAGAAGAACACUGGAGAUGCUUGUUCUGAAACACACAUAAAUGCAUAACACAGAGCAUGAAGGAGCUUUGGGUACACAGCACCAGCCGAAGACCACACUGAGAGAAUGUGGGGUAGGGGAAGAAAAGGAAGAGGGAAACGAGAAAUGGCCGGGGGGGUGGGGUGGGCAGGGGUGAAACAGAGAAAGACAGAGACACUAAGGAAGAGUAGAGAUAAGAAAGAGAGGCCCAGCACUGUGGGAGGCCGAGGCAGCCAGACUGCUUUAGCCCAGGAGAUCAAGGCCAACUUGGGCAACAUGACAAAGCCCCAUCUCUAUUUAAAAAAUACAAUAAGUUAGCCGGGUUGGUGGUGCAUGCCUGUAGUCCCAGCUACUUGGGAGACUGAGGUGGGAGAAUCACCUGAGCCCAGGAGGUCGAGGCUGCAGCGAGCUAUGAUCAUGCCACUGCCGUCCACCCUGGGUAACAGAGCGAGACCCUGGGAAAGGAAGGUAGGAAGGCAGGAAGGGAGGG